rnacentral:rRNA from 1 species
AUUGAACGCUGGCGGCAUGCCUUACACAUGCAAGUCGAACGCGAAAGCGGGGCAACCCGCAAGUAGAGUGGCGAACGGGUGAGUAAUACAUCGGAACAUAUCCAGUAGCGGGGGAUAACCUAUCGAAAGAUGGACUAAUACCGCAUACGAUCUACGGAUGAAAGCAGGGGACCGCAAGGCCUUGCACUAUUGGAGUGGCCGAUGUCGGAUUAGCUAGUUGGUGGGGUAAAAGCUUACCAAGGCGACGAUCCGUAGCUGGUCUGAGAGGACGAUCAGCCACACUGGAACUGAGACACGGUCCAGACUCCUACGGGAGGCAGCAGUGGGGAAUAUUGGACAAUGGGCGAAAGCCUGAUCCAGCAAUGCCGCGUGAGUGAUGAAGGCCUAGGUUGUAAAGCUCUUUUACCCGGGAUGAUAAUGACAGUACCGGGAGAAUAAGCCCCGGCUAAACUCCGUGCCAGCAGCCGCGGUAAU